rnacentral:lncRNA from 1 species
GGCAGUUUCCUGAUCUUCUGGAUAUGCUGCCACGCUGUCCCAGGGCUGGUGGUGUCCCCUGACUUGUUCCUCUCCUGACUUUCUCAGCCUGGAGACUGAAAGCUCUCUUUGGCUGUUGGCCCUCCCAGGCAGAGUCCACUGGCUGUUAGGGUGAAAUGGGGCUGAUGCUUCCUGGAAUCCACCAGAAGUAUGCAAAUUGCACCAUCUCUUUCAGCUGCCUGCGCCUGCAUUCCAUCGAGGAUUCCGGGCAUGAGCCAUGCUGGUCUUCCAGCUGACCCUCAGACGUGCCAAGCCCAUUCCUGCUUCUAGGACUCGGGACUUGCU